rnacentral:rRNA from 1 species
UACGUAGGGUGCAAGCGUUGUCCGGAAUUAUUGGGCGUAAAGAGCUCGUAGGCGGUUUGUCGCGUCUGCUGUGAAACUCGGGGCUUAACUCCGGGCCUGCAGUGGGUACGGGCAGACUAGAGGGUGGUAGAGGCGAGUGGAAUUCCCGGUGUAGCGGUGAAAUGCGCAGAUAUCGGGAGGAACACCAGUAGCGAAGGCGGCUCGCUGGGCCAUUCCUGACGCUGGAGACGCGAAAGCUAGGGGAGCGAACAGG